CAGAUACCUUGUGCUGCACCAGCUUUAGCUGGGCAACCCCCAUCAGGUCGGAUAAUGCCUAAUAUCCCUCCAAGUGUGAACCCAACACCUGCCUCUCAACCACCACCUCCUAGUUUGCCACCAGUCCAAGGAAGCAUCAUUGCAUCACGCCCACCAGUAGCACCUAAUGAUGCUACUGCAGCUGCUGCUCCCCCUCCUCAACAGCCACCUGAAGGUGCGACUCCACCACCUGUACCGCCACCGCCACCAGCACCACCAGCUACUGCUUCCCCAUGAUCAGUGACAGAUUCCUUAAACUGCAUUCCUCCAAAGCCUUAGGAACUUUCUAGAAAGAACCAGCCACGAGUUUCAUGUUUUGAUAUUGCGUUGCUGUGUAAUAUGUAAAGCUUUCACAAGAACAUUAGGAGUUUAGCAUUCUUGGAAUACUACUGUUUUGUGUUACCUUGAGUUGCAAAAUAUUUCUGUAAGCAGAGCAUUUGUGUGUCAGCAAGGUAAGACUGUAAAUACUGUUUAACAGUAUGUAUAGUAAUUACAGCUUUUCGUUGAUAUCUAUUCAUUGUUGUCUUCUGACCAACAACCUCCCAUUUCACAGUGACUGAACACAGCCCGAGCUUUGCUAAUGUUUUCCCUGUUUAGAUCAGAGUUACUGAGCUAUUAGUAUUUUGGGGGCUUUUUGUAUGACUUUGAGUCACUAGUGAUAAAAUAGGGACUUUAUAUUCUCCAGUAGUGUUUCUGGGCUCUGCAUUUAUCACAGUAUUUAUUUAUUAAAUUUCUGCAUUACAGUUUUAAAUUUUGCUAAGCUGUUUAUAUGUAACAUUUUUCUGAUCAUUUUAUACUGUACUUAUCUUUUUGUUCUUGUGAAAUUAUAAACCUGUUAAGGACUACCUCUGCACUGUAAUUUCAGCUUAUUUUUUUUUUUUUUUUACCUGUUGAAGAAAUAGCCUUCCAGUUCUCAAGUUAAUGACCAGUUUGAGUUAUGUUGCCGAAGAGGCAAAUUCCAGCCAGGUUGUAUAGUAAAAACUUGCAUUCUCUGUCCCCUUUUAUUUCAAAUCAUUGUCUUGCCAAUUUUUAUAUUACUCACAGGUAGUAAACACUUGUGUAAUAGAACGCAUUUGCACUAAAGGAAGAAGUCAACAUUUCUUUUUAAUCUGUAAAAAUACUGCAGUGUUUCAAACUUGCAUAUGCUAGUGUGAUAAAAGGAGGGGGAAGAUGGGGGUACGAAAAAUACAUAUGGUCUACAGCCCAAAUGAGCACAAGUUAUAAGAUACAUGGUUACGAUAUUUUCUUGACAUUAAUUUGCCAUUUUACCCCCACUGGUUUACAGUAUAUACAUCUGUUUAAAAGUGGGUAGAAUAAUUGCUUCUGAAUUUGGAUGUAGUUGCACAUACAAUAAAGGACUUUUACUUUCCUUAAAAUAUUGCAUCAAGACCGUGUGUUUUAAAUGUGUUCUUAAAACAUUUAAACUGAUGAAAUUUUAAUAAAUGAUUUAUUAAAAUCA